AUUCGUCUUGUGCCAAUGCCUGCCGAAAACAAUUUAAAAUCGAAACGGCGGUAGUAACUAUGACUCUCUUAAGGUAGCCAAAUGCUACUGUCAUCUAUUGUCAUCUAAUUAGUGACGCGCAUGAAUGGAU
rnacentral:ncRNA from 1 species